rnacentral:rRNA from 1 species
AGGGCUGCAGUAUAUUGACUGUACAAAGGUAGCAUAAUCAUUAGUCAUUUAAUUGAUGACUUGUAUGAAGGAUUUGAUGAAAUAUAAACUGUCUCUUAUUUAAUUAUAAAAUUUAAUUUUUUUAUUAAAAAGUUAAAAUAUUUUAAAAAGACGAGAAGACCCUAUAGAGUUUAAUAAAUUAUUAGAUUGAGAUUAUAUGUAAAACAAAUUUAAAAUAAAAUUAUUUAUUUUGUUGGGGUGACAAAAAAAUACAUUAAACUUUUUUUAUUUAAAAAACAUUUAUAAGUGAUUAAAUGAUCCAAUAAUAUUGAUUAUAAGAAAAAAUUACCUUAGGGAUAACAGCGUAAUUUUUUUUUUUAGUUCAAAUAAGAAAAAGAGUUUGCGACCUCGAUGUUGGAUUAAGAUAAAAUUUAAA